rnacentral:tRNA from 1 species
GAGGUUGUGGCUCAACGGUAGAGCACUUGCCUAGCAUGUGUGAGGCCUGGGUUCAAUCCUCAGCACCACA